UACAUAGGUGACAAGCGUUAUCCGGAUUUAUUGGGCGUACAGGGUGCGUAGGUGGUUCGAUAAGUUUGGGGUUAAAGCCCGGUGCUCAACACCGGUUCGCCUCGAAAACUGUCGUACUAGAAUACAGAAGAGGUAGAUGGAAUUCCAUGUGUAGCGGUGAAAUGCGUAGAUAUAUGGAGGAACACCAGUGGCGUAGGCGGUCUACUGGUCUGUUAUUGACACUGAGGCACGAAAGCGUGGGGAGCAAAUAGG
rnacentral:rRNA from 1 species